GUAGUGUAGUUGUAGUGUAGAUUUUUUCUGACAACCCAGACCACGCAAGUGUAUUGUUUAAUCUAUGAGAAAAUAUAUAUCUUUAAAUUAAUUAUUAGAUAUAUAAUACUUACUCCCUUGCUGAGACAAAAAAAAUAAAUAAAAAUAAAAUUAACCUACAUAACACACUUUCUCACGUAGGUUAAUGUUCAUUUACUUUUUUUGUUGAGGUAGAACAUGUAGUUAACUAACAUUUGUCAAACUAACACACUGCUGUUAUAUUACACCAAUUUGUUUGUGUUGACAUACACUCAUAUCGACCUUAAUCUAAUAAAAAAAAAAUGUUUAAGUUUCAUGUUUGCUAAUGUUUUAAACACGUAUUUAACACACCUCUUCAUCGUGUUUGCGCUUGGUUGGUGUGAUAAAGUUCUGGAGACUUAUAAUAAUACUGUACUGCCUCCCUCUACUGGACGCAUCAAGAGCAACAGGGGUGUAAAACUGCCCAGGCCAUAAAACUGCUUGCGCCGUAGAUCUGUCUGGAUCCAAGUCUGCAGUCUUCCCCACCUCGAAUAUUUCGUGCAACAGCGCCCCCUGUUUACUCGUGAUGAGCUUCUGGAUUUGAGUGUCUCAGCUGCUGAUCUAUUCCUGCAUUCAGCUGAAUUAUGAAGGCUGAUCAAUGACUGGAGAUCUGUGAUUGUUCAUCAGUUUCUGCUGGAGAUCAAACUCUUCAGAUCCAUCAUGGAGGACACACACACACAUGAUGAUCUGGAUUUGUCUACAGGAUGCAGUUCAGUUCAUCAGAAGAGAGCAGAAGCAGAGCCCAGCUGUGUGUCUAUGAAGAGUGACGCGUCUAUGGAUCACCCAUUGUUUUUCAAGAGUGGAAACACAGGAGCUGCUGUCAGUUCAGUUCAUCAGAAGAGAGCAGAAGCAGAGCCCAGCUGUGUGUCUAUGAAGAGUGACGCGUCUAUGAUCCCACCAAUAGCAUUUAAGAGUGAAAACACACGACCUGCUGUCAGGUAGAUCAUCUCUACACACACAUGAU